AGAGUUUGAUCUUGGCUCAGGACGAACGCUGGCGGCGUGCCUAAUACAUGCAAGUUGAACGAUGAUUUCUGGUACUUGUAUCAGAAUGAAGAGUAGCGAACGGGUGAGUAACGCGUGGGUAACCUACCUCUUAGCGGGGGACAACUAUUGGAAACGAUAGCUAAUACCGCAUAACAAUAUUAAACACAUGUUUAAUAUUUGAAAGUACCAAUUGGUACACUAGGAGAUGGACCCGCGUUGUAUUAGCUAGUUGGUAGUGUAAUGGACUACCAAGGCGAUGAUACAUAGCCGACCUGAGAGGGUGAUCGGCCACAUUGGGACUGAGACACGGCCCAAACUCCUACGGGAGGCAGCAGUAGGGAAUCUUCGGCAAUGGACGAAAGUCUGACCGAGCAACGCCGCGUGAGUGAAGAAGGUUUUCGGAUCGUAAAACUCUGUUGUUAGAGAAGAACGUUGUGUAGAGUGGAAAAUUACACAAGUGACGGUAUCUAACCAGAAAGGGACGGCUAACUACGUGCCAGCAGCCGCGGUAAUACGUAGGUCCCGAGCGUUGUCCGGAUUUAUUGGGCGUAAAGCGAGCGCAGGUGGUUUAAUAAGUCUGAUGUAAAAGGCAGUGGCUCAACCAUUGUGUGCAUUGGAAACUGUUAGACUUGAGUGCAGUAGAGGAGAGUGGAAUUCCAUGUGUAGCGGUGAAAUGCGUAGAUAUAUGGAGGAACACCGGUGGCGAAAGCGGCUCUCUGGACUGUAACUGACACUGAGGCUCGGAAGCGUGGGUAGCAAACAGGAUUAGAUACCCUGGUAGUCCACGCCGUAAACGAUGAGUGCUAGUUGUUUGGGGCUAUCCAGCCCUAAGUGACGCAGCAAACGCAUU
rnacentral:rRNA from 1 species